AAUGAACGUUGGCGGCAUGGAUUAGGCAUGCAAGUCGAGCGCGAUGUGUAGCAAUACACGGAAAGCGGCGGAAGGGAGAGUAAUACGUGGGAAUCUGCCCUUAGACCUGGGAUAGCAGCGGGAAACUGCUGGUAAUACCAGAUAACGUCUAUGGACCAAAGGUGUGAUUCCGUCUAGGGAUGAGCCCACGUCCUAUUAGCUAGUUGGUAGGGUAAUGGCCUACCAAGGCGAUGAUGGGUAGCGGGUGUGAGAGCAUGACCCGCCUCACUGGGACUGAGACACUGCCCAGACACCUACGGGUGGCUGCAGUCGAGAAUCUUCGGCAAUGGGCGCAAGCCUGACCGAGCGAUGCCGCGUGCGGGAUGAAGGCCUUCGGGUUGUAAACCGCUGUCGAGGGGGAGCAACUUCCAUAGAGUUAUCUUUAUGGAUUGAGUGAUCCCUGGAGGAAGGACGGGCUAAGUUCGUGCCAGCCGCCGCAGUAAUAC
rnacentral:rRNA from 1 species